rnacentral:rRNA from 1 species
UACGUAGGGUGCGAGCGUUAAUCGGAAUUACUGGGCGUAAAGCGUGCGCAGGCUGUUUUGUAAGCCAGAUGUGAAAUCCCCGGGCUUAACCUGGGAAUGGCAUUUGGGACUGCAAGGCUGGAGUGUGGCAGAGGAGACUGGAAUUCCUGGUGUAGCAGUGAAAUGCGUAGAUAUCAGGAGGAAUACCGAUGGCGAAGGCAGGUCUCUGGGCUGACACUGACGCUCAUGCACGAAAGCGUGGGGAGCAAACAGG